rnacentral:rRNA from 1 species
CCCUUAGAUGUUCUGGGCCGCACGCGCGCUACACUGACAGGUUCAUCGAGCUUACAACCUUGAUCGAGAGGUCUGGGUAAACUUUUAAAAGCCUGUCGUGCUGGGGAUAGAUUAUUGUAAUUUUUAAUCUUCAACGAGGAUUCCUAGUAAACGCAAGUCAUCAACUUGCAUUGAUUACGUCCCUGCCCUUUGUACACACCGCCCGUCGCUACUACCGAUUGAAUGGUUUAGUGAGUUCCAGGGAUUGUUGUAUGUGAUUGGAAACAGUUGCUUACAUGCGAGAACUGGUGCAAAUUUGAUCAUUUAGAGGAAGUAAAAGUCGUAACA